UAUCAAAUAAUUUUUAGUAUUCAAUUUUAUCCUAGACACCUCUUCAGCAGGCGUGUGGUGCCUCCACUGAAAGUUUUGCUUAAGUCCAACCAUUAACAUGCUAGAAUUUAGUGUAUCUAACAAACGAGUGAUCAGGUCUAAAUGUGGCUCGACUAACCUGACCAUUAUCAGAAAGACAACUAAAACAACAUAUUAUAAAUGAUAAUUCUGAUAGCC
rnacentral:lncRNA from 1 species